rnacentral:rRNA from 1 species
UACGUAGGGUGCGAGCGUUAAUCGGAAUUACUGGGCGUAAAGCGUGCGCAGGCGGUUUUGUAAGCCAGGUGUGAAAUCCCCGGGCUCAACCUGGGAAUGGCAUUUGUGACUGCAUGGCUAGAGUUUGGCAGAGGGGGGUAGAAUUCCACGUGUAGCAGUGAAAUGCGUAGAUAUGUGGAGGAACACCGAUGGCGAAGGCAGCCCCCUGGGUCAAGACUGACGCUCAUGCACGAAAGCGUGGGGAGCAAACAGG